rnacentral:rRNA from 1 species
AUUGAACGCCGGCGGCAUGCUUUACACAUGCAAGUCGAACGGUAACAGGCCGCAAGGUGCUGACGAGUGGCGAACGGGUGAGUAAUGCAUCGGAACGUGCCCAGUCGUGGGGGAUAACGCAGCGAAAGCUGCGCUAAUACCGCAUACGAUCUAUGGAUGAAAGCGGGGGACCGAAAGGCCUCGCGCGAUUGGAGCGGCCGAUGUCAGAUUAGGUAGUUGGUGGGGUAAAGGCUCACCAAGCCAACGAUCUGUAGCUGGUCUGAGAGGACGACCAGCCACACUGGGACUGAGACACGGCCCAGACUCCUACGGGAGGCAGCAGUGGGGAAUUUUGGACAAUGGGCGCAAGCCUGAUCCAGCAAUGCCGCGUGCAGGAAGAAGGCCUUCGGGUUGUAAACUGCUUUUGUACGGAACGAAAAGGCUCUGGUUAAUACCUGGGGCUCAUGACGGUACCGUAAGAAUAAGCACCGGCUAACUACGUGCCAGCCGCCGCGGUAAUAC